AGGUUCUUCAGAACAUCUUGGAUUUUGUGGAUGAGGGGCCCUUAUUUAAAAGUUUCAUGAAGGACUAUGAAGCUGCUCAGAGAUUAUUACAAGCUGGCUUUCAUGAUUCAUGAAGAUUUUAUGACAAGACUGGAGGAAGCCUAUUUACAAGCUGACAGUGCCGAAGUGGUUAUUGUUGAAGAAUAGUAAAGUGUAUGCAAUUUGGAGAUCUCAACAGUUAUAUGCAGUCUGGGAUAUUGUCAGUUGUAUGCAGUCAGGGGAUCUCGACUGUUGUAUGCAGUCAGGAGAUCACGACAGUUGUAUGCAGUCCGGGGAUCUCAACAGUACUUUGCAGUCCGGGGAUCUUGACAGUUGUAUGCAGUCUGGGGAUCUCGACAAUACUUUGCAGUCCAGGGAUCUUGACAGUUGCAUGCAGUCAGGAGAUCACGACAGUUGUAUGCAGUCCGAGGAUCUCGACAGUACUUUGCAGUCCAGGGAUCUUGAUGGUUGUAUGCAGUCAGGAGAUCUUGGAUCUUUUUGUACUGUUGACAUUCUCAAGAUUCUGUCUUAAAUAAAACUUACUUGGACAGUUUAAAAGCUUCUCUAUAACUUGUCUGUGACAUUCUAAAAUAGAAGACAUGUAUAUGAAUAUUUAGUUCCAGCAUGCCAUACUUGAGCAUUUGAGUUUUGGAAAGGUGGCAGUUUGAAUGUUUACAGUGGUCUCUGUAAACUGUUAUUUGGCAAAUUGACGUGGAUUUUGGUAGUAAAUAUGUUAUCAGUGGUGCAAGACUGGAAUUUUGAUCAAAUUCAAAAAAUUUUGACUCUGAGGUGAAAAAGUGGACUAACUGCAUGAUGAGAUAUCUGUACCUUUGCACAGGCUAUAAAGAAGUGUCAUCUGUUUUCAUGGGUAGUUCCCAGGACUUUAUAAGUAAUUUUUUGCAGUUUGUGUAUUUUUGAAUGUGUUGAAGCACAAUGAGGAACUUUUGGACUUAACAGCAGUUUCAGAACAGGACAACUGGUUCAGCUGGCCGGUCUGGGACGUCCAGUGCCCAGACUGCUGGUGCUGCAAACCCCACUGACGGGACAACUAGUUAGACUGGCUGGUCCGGGUCCUCACAGACCCUGACAGCUGGUGCCACAAACCCCAUGGAUGUCGGCAGGAAUGGAGUUCAGAAGAAACUGAAAAUACAAAACUGUUUUGACAACCGCACUGACAGGACAACUGGUUCGGCUAGCCGGUCUGGGGUGUCCAGUGCCCAGACUGCUGGUGCCGUGAACCCAAAUGACAGGACAACUGGUUCGGCUGGCCGGUUUGGGUCCUCACAGACCCAGACUGCUGGUGCCGCGAACCCUACAAAUGUUGACAGGAAUGGAGUUCACCAUAUGGAGUCGGAAGAAACUGAAAACACAAAACUGUUUUGAUUAGUGAUGACAACCGCACUGACAGGACAACUGGUUUGGCUGGCCGGUCUCGGGUGUCCAGUGCCCAGACUGCUGGUGCCGCGAACCCCACCAACAGGACAACUGGUUUGGCUGGCCGGUUUGGGUCCUCACAGACCCAGACUGCUGGUGCCGCAAACCCCAUGGAUGUCCGCAGCUCUCAUCUGGUGGAAGAAACAGCUACAAGUGGUGAGCAGCAUAGAAACAAGCAUUCUGGAAAUCGAGGAUAUGAUUCCAGUCGUGACCAGGCUGGUGACCUUGAUUGUGGUUAUUGGGAUACGAAGGAUUUGAUAGAGAGGCGGGGAACCGCAGACAGGGCAUGAAUAAAGGACGGGGCGGGUAUCAUGGAAGAGGUGCAUUUGAUAAACAGGGCAGGAGUGAUAGUUCUAUGAGAUAUUGUUCGGGAGAUCGCAGUGGGUGUGAUUCUUAUGACCCACACCCUGGGAGUUCAGUAGUAGAGGUUGACAGAGCAGAUCUCAAAGAUGAUAAGAAGACAGAGAGAGCACAGACACAGAGACGAUAGCCGUCAAAGCCACCAGCGUCUUGACUGAGGCUUUUAUAAUUAUUGUAAUAAACUUGGUUGAAUGUGAAUGGAUGGAACACAAAUGGCUUCUCAGAUAAUUUUAAUUUUGGAGCUAAUUUUAUUAAUAAACUUCAUUCUGAUGUAAUUGUUAUUUCAGAAACACACCUAACAGGUGAUAAGAUAAUUGAACUGUCUAUGUAUUUUAUGGACACAGUAGAAAAAAUAUUCACGUAAAUGCACAAACUGGUUCAGAUGGAGUUUGUAUUUUUGUAAAAAAGUCAUUUGCAGAACAUUUUAGUAUUGAAAUUUUAGACACAAGCUAUGAGGGAAUUUUAUGGUUAAGUUUUAAUCUAAAAAAGUUUUGAGAAAAUUGUUGCUGUUUAUGCUUGCUUUUUGCCACAAAUGGGAUCUUCUACAUAUGUGAAGAUCAUGAUUAUUUUGACCAACAGUUAAGUAAUAUAUACGAGUAUCAGAAAUUUGGUAAAUUAUUUAUUCAUCAGUGGAUUAGAUGUAAGAAAUAAUCGGCAAAGUUCUGUACCAUUUGAAUUUGUAGAUGAUUCUGGGAUUUGUACUUCUAGCCCUGUUUUAGUUUUGAAUAUGUGGAAAAUAGACUUUUAUAACUUACAUUGAAAACUGACAUGUCUGUUGAAGGGAUUGCAGAUAUUGAAAGCAAUGUAUAUAUAGAUAAUUGUACUGAUCAAGACAUUCACAUUGUUUUAUGUUAAAACUGCUAUUUUUAGCUCACCUGAGCACAAAGAGCUCAAGGUGAGCUUUUGUGAUCGCCCUGUGUCCGUCGUCUGUCGGCGGCGGCGUCAACAAUUUGAUUGUUAACACCCCAGAGGUCACAAUUUUGGCCCAAUCUUAAUGAAACUUGGUCAGAGUGUUACCCUCAUAAAAUCUUGGACAAUUUUAUAUUGGGUCAUCUGUGGUCAAAAACUAGGUCACCAGGUCAAAUCAAAGGAAAAGCUUGUUAACACUCUAGAGGUCACAAUUUUGGCUCAGUCUUAAUGAAACUUGGUCAGAAUGUUACCCUCAAUAAAAUCUUGCACGAGUUCGAUAUUAGGUCACACUUUUGAGGCCACAUUUAUGACCAUAUCUAAAUGAAACUUGGUUAGAAUGUUAAUCUUGAUGAUCUCAAGGUCAGUAGGUCAGGUGACCGAUACAGGGCUUUCAUGGCCCUCUUGUUUUGGGAAGGUCUGUAUGAACCAUGAGCUUAUACUACAAAGGGAUGACAUCCCUGCAUAGCUUUUCUUCCAUGUGCACACUCUGAAUCUGUUGUAAGGUGUAUGUAAUACUUAUACUAAGAGCUUAAAGAAAGCUUCUGCCUCAUAAUUUCAGUAUACUGGAAAGAUGCUACUUUACCAUUUAUUUUGUCAAUGCUUGUAGCCAGGUUGGUUUAAACAAAAUCCAUGAGCAACAGACUAUAGGUUAAGAUAGAAAAGCUAUUACUUCUUGCAUUUAGUAAAUAUUCAUAUGUUAGGGAUAUGGUAGGAUAAGGCAAAAAAAAAAACAAAAAACAAACUGGCUAUUGGUUUCAGAAAACUGCCAUAUCACCACAUUUUAAGGAUGGUUUUGGCCAUGUAUUUUUGGACUAAAUUUCAGUAGAUAGGGAUGGUAAGGUAGCAUAAGGUUUUUACUGCCACUGUUUGUGUGAAAGUGCAUUGUAUGAUUGUGUUUAAGUCAGCCCUCAUCACAUAAUAAGGUAACAGGUAUUGCCAUAUCGUUUUAUAUGUGCAGCAAUUGUAGCCAGACUGUUCACUAAGUUUGGUAAAAAUCCAUCAUCAAGAGAGGGCUGCAUCUCGGGUCAUAUCAUUCUUUUAUGUUAAAUAUACAAUAUUAAAGUUUUUUGACACUGUUUAAAUAUUAGGACUUUGAUACUGGUAACAUUAAAGCCAGUUAUGAAUAAAGUGGUUAAGAAAAAAAUAAUAUUUCUUUGUGUUUCUUACAUGAUAAUGUUUUGAUAAUCUUAGCUGUUAGGGAUAUGGUAGAAUAAUGCUAAGUGUCUAAUACUGGCUACAGGUUUUUCAUGAAAACUACCAUAUCACCACAUUUCACGUAUAAGGGCAAUUUCGGCAACAUUUAUUCAUUUUUGGACUAAAUUUCAGAGAUAGGAAUUAAUUGCUGAAGAAAAUAGGAAAAUUAUCAUCAUUUAUUAUUUUUAUAAGUUGUAUAUAAACAAAGUGUGUUUGAGCAGUGUGCAAGAAAUUUUGUGUGUCUUCCUGACAACUGAUGAGAUACUACUGCAAAAAGACUGCCAGAAGUUUUGGCUUUUUGGCUUAUAUGGAGACUGGCAGCUGACCUUGGACGUGUAGUAUACUUGUUUUAUUCUAGCCACUGUCAAACUUGACAGUCUUAGGGAUGCAACACUACCAUGUCAUUGUGCUUGCACAUGAUUAUGUGGCAAGUUAAGCCAUUGAAGUUUGGAGAAAAUCCUCAACUUGUAAGUUUACUAGCAAGUCAAAGAAUAACAUGAGUUUAGCCAUUACAUUUUUCUGCAUUUUACAGUUUAAACAAUUGUUGUUUAUUAUUGUGUUGUAUUAUUUUAUCAUUUAAGUUUCAUUUUAUAGGACUGUGGUAGAGUGGGUCAGUUAGUUAAUGAUCAUAUUAAAUGAUAGUAACUGGCUACAGGUCUAGAAAUAAAACUACCACUUCUUGCAUUUAAUAAUCUUAUGUUUAAGUGAUAUGGUAGGAUAAAGAAAGAAAUACUGGCAACUGGUCUUAGAAAACUAUCAUAUCACAAUAUUUCAAGGGAAGUUUUGGCCUCGCCGUGCUUUAAACAUUUUUUUUGUUUUCAACAGCUGCACGUGCCUGGAUUUUUGAACAUUUUUGAUCUAAAUUUCAAGAAAUAGGGAUGACAUGGUAGAAUAAAGGUUAAUGUCAGCAAUUGUAUUUUUAUUAAAAUAUCCGUGUAUAGGUAAAUUUUGACAUGUUUAAAGGAUCAUAGAAUAAAUGAUAACUGAUUUUUUUUAAUAACACUGAUAAAUAUAGUAAAUGAAUGUUCAGUGAAUGAAUGAUGAUUGAAUUAUGGAGCAAAAAGUGAUGGAUGAAUGUUGAAUGAAUUAUUUUGUAAAACCCAAUGAGUGAAUGGUGAAUGAAUUACUUUGUAAAACAGUGUUUGAAUACUAAAUUCAAAAUUGCUUUUUAGAACAUUGGACAGACUGUAGCUAAAGUAGAGAUAUUGUAAAACAGUGGCAGGAUUAGAUUUUGUUGUCACAGGAGUUACUUUUAAAAUUUGAUUUAAUUUAUAACACACAGUGAUAAGAUCUUUAAGUGGGUUUUUUUUGUAACAUACAGUGGCAAUGUUGUUUAGUGGUUUAAAUAACAGUGGCAAGGUCUUUUAGUGGGUUUAAUUUGUAAAAUACAUGGCAAGCUACCAGUAUUUUAGUGAGUUCAAUUUGUAAGACACAGUGGCAAUGUGUUUUAGUGGGUUUAAUUUGUAAAAUACAUUGGCAAGGUCUUUUAAUGGAUUUAAUUUGUAAAAUACAAUGGCAAGGCCUUUUAAUGGGAUUAAGUUUCUUCUAAGGUCUUUAAGUGGAUUUAAGACUGUUCAGUCUGUAUACAGGGAUAUAACUGUGUUGAGUUUUCAUAUACUUUGCAUAUUCUGCCUGCCUAAAUUUCUUAGUGGUAUUUAAUCUUGGAAAAGUUAAUUAUAAUAUUACAAAAUACAAUGUGGUAUCAAGUAAUAAUAAUGAUAUAUUAAAAAUAAAAAUAAUAAGAGGUGUUCGCAAGACAGCACACUCUACUUUUCUCAGUGCUUCGCUCAUAAUCAGAGCUAAAAGAAUUAUAAAACCUUAAUUUUUUAAAAAAAACUUUUAUGUUAAAAAUAGACAUAACUCUGUUGAAAUUAAAAACAGAGUUAAUGGGCAUUGUUUCUCCUAGUGUAAACUUUGAUGAUAGAUAACUUUCUUAAGUUUAAAGUCAAAAUCAUUGAUAGUAACAGAUAUAUCUGACUUUAUCAAAAACUU